rnacentral:rRNA from 1 species
GACCAUGACCAUACCACCCUGAAUGCACCCAAUCUCAUUUGAUCUCAAAAGCUAAGCAGGGUCGGGCCUAGUUAGUACUUGUAUGGGAGAGCAACUGGGAAUACCGGGUGCUGUAGGCU